rnacentral:lncRNA from 1 species
ACAGAGCUUGCUAGAGGAGAAAAAAAAGCAAAAAACAACAAACAAACCAUGGGUUAUUGGGGUCUCGCCCGGCGCUGGAGAUCCCACGGCUGUGACCCCCGCGAGGAGGACGCUGCCCAGACCCAGCCAGCGGCAUCGGAAGCUUUUGGUCCUGCAGAGCCCCUCGUGCUCGAGCUGUGCUGCUGUUUUUUUCGGGACAGGCUGUGCCUGGUCCCAGCAGGUGAGGGGUCCCCAGCAGCACCCAGCCUGCCCUGUGCCUUGGCCCUCCCGGGCUCCAAAGGACUUCGCUCCCGGCAGUGAGGACGUGACCACGGCCACCACAGGGAGAGCUCAGCGGAGAUGCCAGGUGUGGAGAGGCAGCAUCAGGAGGAGCCCUGGGAAGCCACCAGAGGACACCCAUCCCUACCCAGGACAUCCAUCCCUACCCAGGACAUCCAUCCCAACCCAGGACAUCCCUCCCGACCCAGGACAUCCACCCCAGCCCGACACGUCUGGCUCUACAAUUGGGACCAGCAAUGGCCAGAGCGGGCUGAGCGCACAGCACCUCUGCUUUUGGGUGCCGCCGUCCCCAUCCCCUGCAGGACACCAGGGUCACAAACCUCCACGUGAGUUUAGGGGGACGGGGACAUUCAACCAGCCGCUCUCCCGCUGGAUUUUGCCCAGGGCUGGCACCGCGUGUGUGUGACACAGAGGACAAGAGCCGCUGGUGGCUGUUUCCUCCUUGCCCCUUUGGGGUUCUUCCUGCUUGCGGAUGCCAAAGUGCCCUUCGCCCCGAUCUCUCGGACCUUUAAGGAAUUUCCAGGUGCUGCAGGGCCGUUCCCCCUGCUGACACGGUGCUUUCUGCAGUCCCCGGCUGUGUUGGGCUGUCACAGGGGUGCUGGGUGCGGGCUCCUCCGUGGCUGCCCUCACCCAAAGGUUCCUCCCGUGCCCCCACACCUUCCCGGCUGCAUUUUAUUUGGCCCUGCUGCAAGCCCCCUCCCUUGGAAUAAAGCCUCCCAGAUGCGGCCCUAGGGCUCA